rnacentral:tmRNA from 1 species
GGGGGCGACAUGGUUUCGACGUGGGUUACAAACCCCUUGGUGCAUGCCGAGGUGCAGAUCACCUCGUAAAUCCAUCUGCAAACACUUAGUUGCCAACGACGACAACUACGCUCUCGCUGCUUAAAAACCAGUCUUGAGAGCCUUCUGACUGGCACCGUACCUGUGCGGUCCAGACCCAGGAGUCAUCAACCACAGGAUCGCGUGCGGGUUCGUCCGGGAUCUUCACGUUAAAGCCCAUCAACCGGACUGGCUGUCAGUUGUCCCUGUCCGUCGGGUAGCUGCCAGUAAGACAAUUGGCGGAAUACGCAUGUAGAUCUGAGGGCAGAGGACUUGCGGACGCGGGUUCGAUUCCCGCCGCCUCCACCA